UCAAGUGACUAAGCGUACACGGUGGAUGCCUUGGCGUUGGCAGGCGAUGAAGGACGCGGCAAGCUGCGAAAAGCUUCGGAGAGGUGCAAGCUACCUUUGAUCCGGAGGUGUCCGAAUGGGGAAACCUUUACUGUGAUAAGCAGUAAAUCGUGCACUGAAUACAUAGGUGUACGAAGCUAACGCGGGGAACUGAAACAUCUAAGUACCCGCAGGAGAAGAAAUCAAACGAGAUUUUCCUAGUAGCGGCGAGCGAACGGGAAAUAGCCUAAACCGUAUGUAAGGCGACUUGCGUACGGUGUUGCGGGAAGUGUCAAUAGAGAUAACAAGCUAUAGCGGAAAUAUCUGGGAAGGUAUGCCAAAGAGGGUGAAGGCCCCGUAUGCGAAAUAGCGAGUUGUUGAGACGCUCUCCCAAGUACCUCGGGGCACGAGAAAUCCAGAGGGAAUCCGGGUGGACCAUCAUCCAAGGCUAAAUACUCGUCAGCGACCGAUAGUGAACCAGUACCGUGAGGGAAAGGCGAAAAGAACCCCGAGAGGGGAGUGAAAUAGAACCUGAAACCGUGUGCCUACAAGCGGUCAGAGGGGCUUUAAGCCCUGAUGGCGUACCUUUUGUUUAAUGGUCCAAGGAGUUAUCAUUUGCAGCGAGGUUAAGUACUUAAGGUAUGGAGCCGUAGGGAAACCGAGUCUGAAUAUGGCGAUUAGUUGCAGGUGAUAGACCCGAAACCGAGUGAUCUAUCCAUGGCCAGGUUGAAGCGAGGGUAAAACCUCGUGGAGGACCGAACUAGUGUGGAGUGAAAACCGCUUGGAUGAGCUGUGGAUAGGGGUGAAAGGCUAAUCAAACUCGGAAAUAGCUGGUUCUCCCCGAAAUGCAUUUAGGUGCAGCCUUAUGAAGUAGCACUGGGGGUAGAGCACUGAUUGGAUUGAUGGGGUCUAACCGACUUACUGACUCCAGUCAAACUCCGAAUACCGGUGUGUAAUUCAUGGGAGUGAGAAUGCGGGUGAUAAGGUUCGUAUUCGAGAGGGAAACAACCCAGAUCAUCAGCUAAGGCCCUCAAAUGAUAGCUAAGUGGUAAAGGAUGUGAGAUUACAGAGACAACCAGGAGGUUUGCUUAGAAGCAGCAAUCCUUUAAAGAAAGCGUAACAGCUCACUGGUCAAGUGAUUUUGCGCCGAAAAUAACCGGGGCUAAGCUAUCUGCCGAAGCUAUGGAUUGUGCAGAUUUAUCUGCAAAGUGGUAGGGGAGCGUUCGCAGUGCGAUGAAGGAUGAUGGUGAUUGAUUCUGGAGCGCUGUGAAGUGAGAAUCUUGGAAUGAGUAGCGAUAAGGAGAGUGAGAAUCUCUCCCGCCGUAAGCCCAAGGAUUCCUGAGCAAGGCUCGUCCUCUCAGGGUUAGUCGAGACCUAAGGUGAGGCCGAAAGGCGUAGCUGAUGGAAGACAGGUUAAUAUUCCUGUACCGUCUGUAAAUUGUUUGACCGAUGGGAUGACGCGGUUGUGAACUGUAACCUUGCCGUUGGUUGAGCAAGGCCAAGGGCUUAGGAUGUCAGGUAGGCAAAUCCGCCUGAUAAGUCUGAAGUCUGAUGGGGAGUUAGUAAUAACGAAGUACAGGUAAUCGUGCCGCCGGGAAAAGUCUCUAAGGGAAAUUUAUAGGCGCUCGUACCAAAACCGACACAGGUGGGCGGGCAUAAAUAUGCCAAGGCGCGCGAGUUAAGUACCGGUAAGGAACUCGGCAAAUUAACCCCGUAACUUCGGGAGAAGGGGUGCCUGUAGCAAUACAGGCCGCAGUGAAGAGGCCCAUGCAACUGUUUAUUAAAAACACAGCACUCUGCAAAGACGAAAGUCGACGUAUAGGGUGUGACUCCUGCCCGGUGCUGGAAGAUUAAAUGAUGGGGUGCAAGCUCUUGACUGAAGUCCCAGUAAACGGCGGCCGUAACUAUAACGGUCCUAAGGUAGCGAAAUUCCUUGUCGGGUAAGUUCCGACCUGCAC
rnacentral:rRNA from 1 species